CAGCCGCCGCGGUAAUACAGAGGGUGCGAGCGUUAAUCGGAUUUACUGGGCGUAAAGCGUGCGUAGGCGGCUUUUUAAGUCGGAUGUGAAAUCCCUGAGCUUAACUUAGGAAUUGCAUUCGAUACUGGGAAGCUAGAGUAUGGGAGAGGAUGGUAGAAUUCCAGGUGUAGCGGUGAAAUGCGUAGAGAUCUGGAGGAAUACCGAUGGCGAAGGCAGCCAUCUGGCCUAAUACUGACGCUGAGGUACGAAAGCAUGGGGAUCAAACAGGAUUAGAUACCCCAGUAGUCCCUGUCUCUUAUAC
rnacentral:rRNA from 1 species